UUCAGUUUCUUAAUAUUAUUAUUUCCUUUCAUUGCUUCAGUGAUUUGCACCUUUGCACAUGUUGUCCGUCUUUAUUCCACUUAUUACUUAUGCUUUUACAUUAAUUGAAUCCUGUUAACUUUUUGCCUAUUUCUCUAAUUUAUGCCUUCUUUAUAAUCUCUACCUAUUUUUAUGGAAAUAAUAUUGAAAAUACCAAAUUCUAUUAUUACCAGAGAUAAAAUAUCAAAAAUGUCGUUCUCCGUAGUUAAGUUAUGAUUUGUUCGUUCUAACUUCACCUAUAUUUAUCUAUUCAAUGUGAUUUCUUUUUAGGCGAUCGGAUACAAUCUUCUAUUGGCAUGUCCGUGCUGCUUCAUUUGAAAACACAACGUAAUUACUUUGGAUUAUAUGUUAUAGUGAACUUUAGCGUUUGUCAAAAAAAAUACAACUUCAUAACAACACAAAAUUAACUUAAGCCUCACAUUUAAUCAGCGAACAACCUUGACCGAUCUUCCACUACAAAACUACAUCCUACAUUAUUUUUCUUUAUUUUUUUUAAUGUGGCUUCUGGUAAUGUCGUUGAUAGUGCAGCAAACAGAAUGGGCCAUUGUCAACUCACGUUCAUUCUUCACCUUUUCAAUAACUUGCUUUACCCCAUGUUGCCCCUUUCCAGCCAGACCAUACACAUAUGCUCGACCAAUUUGGAGGUAUAUUGUUUUGGAUUACAGAAAAGGGAAAAUCUAAUGAUUAACAAACUAGAAAAGUUUAGGUUGUUUUUCUGCUGCGUUUUGGAAGGAUUUAACUGCAUUUUUGGAUGAUUUUCAGAACUUACGGGGGCUGUUUUCAAUUUUUUAAUGCUGCCAUUUCACGAUUACGCUUAUUGCCAAAGAAAACAAUGGCUUAACAUCUUGAUGAAAAUACUAAAGCACCUGUUAAACAAAGCUAAACGCUCAACGUGUUUUGAGCCUCGCUUUAGGCCUUUAGCGCGCCUUUGAUAACUUUAGUCUUAUGGUGGUCUCUGUUUUUGGUUUGACACAUCCUACCCUAUCUGCCGCCCGAAAUUUAUGUACCACAGCUUAUAUAGAUACUUCUCUUUGGAUAUUAUGUAAUGUGUUUCUGCUUCUGUUUAUGAGAGCGUCUUAUUAUUUCUGAUUGAGCACAACUUCUGCGUCAUAAUAAACAAUUUGCUGCUACAUCUCCAUCUUCCACAUUUUGAAUUAUACUAUAAGAUGGCACACCAUCAAUAACUUCA